CAGCCGCCGCGGUAAUACGAAGGGGGCUAGCGUUGUUCGGAAUUACUGGGCGUAAAGCGCACGUAGGCGGAUAUUUAAGUCAGGGGUGAAAUCCCGCAGCUCAACUGCGGAACUGCCUUUGAUACUGGGUAUCUUGAGUAUGGAAGAGGUUAGUGGAAUUGCGAGUGUAGAGGUGAAAUCCGUAGAUAUUCGCAGGAACACCAGUGGCGAAGGCGGCUAACUGGUCCAUAACUGACGCUGAGGUGCGAAAGCGUGGGGAGCAAACAGGAUUAGAUACCCCGGUAGUCCCUGUCUCUUAUAC
rnacentral:rRNA from 1 species